CACAUAAACGAGUAGUAUUGCCUUGUUGUCAAUAUCUGUAGACUCAUCAACCUGGAGUGCAUACCAUGGUGAUGUAUUAAUCCUCUACAGCAAUUGUGUCUCAACGUCCUCUGCUAUUCGCUCAAUGCGCCGAGUGAUGGUGCUGGCAGAAAGAGGCACCUGUGUGAUCCUUUUAACCGCAGCCUCUCCUAGAAGUUCCCAGCAGAUGUCUUUAGCAACCCAAUGCGCGUACCGGGCACGGACCUGGCCGCGGAUUGGUUCAUGCCCGGUCCGUGGAGCGCUAGCAAGUUACCCGCGGAGCGGUACCAGUCCGCGGCCUGGAGGUUGAGGACCGCUGUUCUAAAACACAGGUGUCAAACUCCAGUCCUCGAGGGCCGGUGUCCCACAUGUUUUCCAACCAACCUGCUUUUGAAGCUCCUUAUUGGCCAAACACACCUGAUCCAGGUAAUCAGCAGCAGAUAACACAGAGGUGGGCUUCCAUUGUCCCUAAGGUGAGGAGGGUGAGGCUUCGUUCUGCCGUUACGGUCCUCUCCUCUGGAGCAGCCUCCUGGAGAGCCUCAGGGCCGCAGAGAUUUCACAGGUUUCUGAGAAGAGGCUCGUGACACACCUUUUUAACGUGGCUUUUGGAUAAUAUUAUCUUCUUAAUAAUUCAUUCAUCCAGGACCAGAUCGUGCGGACAGCAGUCUCAUCAAAUAUGCCCAGACUUCACUCUCCACGGCCACUUCCACCAGCUCUUCUGGGGGGACCCCAAGGUGUUCCAGGCCAGUGGGACAUGCCCGGAACACCUCUCCAGGGAGGUAUCAAGGAGACAUCCGGACCUGAUGCCCGAGGCACCUCAACUGGCUCCUCUGCAUGUGGAGGAGAAGCGGCUCUACUCCGAGCUCUCUCCAGGUUUCAUCUUCUGGGGGGAGUAUAACGAGGUACCAGGCAGACCCAAACAUCCCUGUGGGCUGUUUCAAAAGGAUGAACGUGUCCUUCAGCUGCUGGAAAUAAGUCACAGAACCCCAAGCUGUCGCCGUCUGUCUGCCUGCUGCUCAGUUGCUUCUUUAUGAUUCUGUCUCUACGAUGGAAGAACUGGACCAGAUGUGGUUCUGACUCAACAAAAACCCAGUGAGGACUUGCUGUACAGGAUGGCGACAUCGACGAGUCCAGCUGAAUCUAGAGCUGCAGAUUUGAUGGCCACCACUCCCACGCUGACAGAUCGGAUCUCCAUCAGGCCUUCAAAAUAAAAGACAGGAGUCAGGUUAGAGUUGUGCCGUUCCACCAUUAGCAUGUAGGAAAAAUACAGCAAGCAUGUUCAGAGGCUGGACACGGUUUAAAUUCCAGGUAUUUGAAAUGUGAAGAAAAGUUCUGAUAUUUUACCAUUAAUGAUGUAGACUGGAGGAGAUGCGUUUGACCGCGGCUUCCUUCUCUCCAAGCCUCUGAACUCCAUAAAAACGGACAAUAUCUCUAGUUCACAUUUCCUCAAAAACCAGCUCCAAACUGCAUUAAACCUUUAUACAUAUUGUAAAUGAAUAACCUAAGAGAUAGAUAGAUAUAUAAAUAAAAAGUGCUUCCUGGUCAGAACAACACUCAUACUUUAAAUCAACCCAUGGUUAAAAAAAACUUACUAAAAUAAUAAAAAUACAUUAAAAGAAGUGCUUGCAGGUAAAACCUGGAGAUGCAAACAAAGAUAAAUAAAUAAAUAAAUGCAUAUUUUUCUUGGGACUUUGUGGCUCUCGCUGGGUUUUGGUCAGGAAAAAAACAGCCUAAAUGGCUCCUUUAUUCAUGUCCUAAAACAAAAUAUUUUGAAAAAAAAACGUAUCAAAUCACCUAUCGAAUUAUCCCCGCAUUAUAUAUAUCUCAUAGGAAAUUAUGUUGAAUGUUUGUUUGCAUCAGUGUUUAAGAAAAUCUUGACUCUCAAAAAAACAAAAAACAGUCAGUUCUAUGGUGCAGUGCAGGGGUCGGCAACUGGAGGGAACGACAGUGGCGCGCCAGGUGACAACAAAAAGCUACUUUGUCGUUUUUCUGAAUUUUCCGGUUCGGAAAAGAGUGAUCAUCUCUUUACACAAGGAUCUUUGAUCCCCCAUGGCGUCAUAGUCUAUUCACGCAGCGCUCUGACUGUGACCCCGCCCACCGGUAUAAACUGCGGCUUUUAUCUUUUUUUUUCAAUAAAACUUUAUCGUUUCACACAACGCUCAUUACCUUCAGUGCCAUCCUUCAUGACCGGGUGAUUUGAAUUUUUGUAGAUUAAUGUAGAAUAAAGAAGGUCCCCCCAAUUAAAUGAAAAAGCUGAGAUAUUUCCUUUGCUUUGAAACUAUUACCGAUAAGACAAGUGUGGCGAUUUGAGCGGAUGUUUCUGGAUGACUGUUUGUUGCAUGAAGCGAAAGUUCAAGACUUCACAGCUUUUUAAAAUGUUAUCAUGUUUUGUUGUGGCUGAUAUUUAUUAAAUUGGGUUUCCAUAUGGGGAUCUUUUGUAGUAGGACCUGCUGGUUUGGUCGGUGUUUACUGUCGCAGGUCUCGCUCUUGUUGGAGCGGUUUGGGUCCAGCAUGCAGCCUCACGGCUUUGGUGGACCUGCUGCCGUCUGGUUCUGGUGGGCGCUGUGGUGAUGAUCUGAUCUGCUGCUGGAGAUUCCUGAUCUAUUGUUUCCUCACAUCCUUACGUCUCUUCUAAAAUUAUAGUCAUUUAUUCCUGCUUGUAUGCGGGGGCAAAGGGGGGUUGGUUUGAAUUUUUCUUCAUUUUUGUAUUUUAUGUUUGUUUUUAAUUGUAAAGCGCUCUGAGCUGCAACAGAUGAAAAGUGCUUUUAAUAAAUAAAGAUUGAUAAGUUCAGUUUGUUGAAUGAUAACCAACCAAGGUCAGAUUAAACUGAUCUUCUGUUCUGCCAAAUGUCAAUAUGAAAUUUAAACAAAUGUAAAAGUUAAUGUUAAGCUGAUCAUCACAGCAUUUCCUGGAGACGAAAAGGAAGAAUGAUGCUGUCCUGUUGCAGAAUAUUUAAAUCACUAAAAAUAGUAAACCAAUGAAAAAGUAAAAGCCACUUAGUUUUAUACUAAAUAAAACCAUCAUCACAGAGUGAACUAACAAGUUCUUCAGGUCCGGUCUCAUAAUGUAACAAAAAAUAAAAAAGCCAAAAUCAUACUCAUGUAUCAAACUCACAGUUGUGAAGUUCUUAGAAAUAUUGAUGAUAUUUUGUUCUGAUGUAUAUAGCGGCUGGGUGGCUCAGUGGGCUAGGUGAA